UAAAAACACAUUUACAUGAAAAAUCUCCUGCUCGAGCAGGGGUUGGACUGGAAGACCUCCAAGGUCACUUCCAAGUCUAUUAUUCUCUAAUUCUGUAAAAGUCUCCUGUUCGAGCAGGGGUUGGACUAGAAGACCUCUGAGGUCCCUUCCAGUUCUGUUCUGACGGAAGUGUCUGCCAGACAAUAAAGGGCUGAAUUUGACCCUGGGGGAGGGAGGGGGCCCUUGUAAAACAGCCAAGUCCUCUCUAUGACCUCUCCAUCCUGCAGGGCGGCCAUGGUGAGGGCAGCAGGGCAACCGUCCAAAUAAUCCGAACCACCCAGUACCAACGGAAGCGAUGGAGACCUUACCGGUUGGGCAGCCUCUCAGCUCUGAGCCGAGGGCUGAUGAAGACCGUGCAUUUCCAACUUUUUGUUGCACCACGUCGAUUUUCGAUACCAAAUGAGUAUUGGCAUCAUUAAGGACAUUGUGAUUUACUUUACUACAAGAGACAUGAGGAAUAUGAUAUUGCAAGAGU